AGAACACGAGUCAACUGCCCGUGCUGCGUCAGUUUUAAAACAAACGACCCUGCUGGAGGCAAGCUGCUUUUCAUGACAAAGAUGAAUAAAUUUCAGAUCAGUUUAUGCAUUUGCAUCUCUGUUCCAGUUUCAAGAAGUUAAGGAAGAUUACUAGAGAUGUGAUAAAGAUACCAGAAGACUGAGAAGAACCUGCCACUCAUUAGAAAGAUGAUGGAGACCACAUUCCCCCUAUGCCGACAGACCAUAGUGAUGUCCUGCCCACCAGUGAACGAGCUCAUGGACCUCUGGCCUGCUCUCAAAAUAGAGUAAUAGAGGUAAUAU